ACCGGGGAUUUCUCAUUUAUUUUAGCCAUGCAAAUAUACAAAUUAUAUGUAGGCGGUAUUGCUUAGUCGAUAUUCAGAUGGACCGGUGUCCAGGGAAUUCUGUAAGGGAGUUGCGGCCCCCCAUGGGAGGUUAAACACUGCUCCCUGGAGGAGGAAGAGUGGAUCUUGUCAGAAUGAUGGAGAAUGUGAAGCUUUAGAUGACACUGAUGAUGAAAACAAGGAGGACUUUGCGGAACAUUCCCAGAUGACUUCGGCCAACAAU